GUCCAGGAUUGUCUGAAAUGAGUCGAAAUUAAAUUCUUUUAUAUUUCGCUCUUUAAACAUGUCCUUGCCAUGUAUUUCGUUUAUGCGCAUUGCUUACGACCUACUUAUCAUCUAUAUGUUAUACAUUCAGUCUAUACCGCAUAAACGAAUGCGUGUGAUAUCCAGUAGAACACCAAGGGACAAUAAAUUCAAUAUAGUUACGUUUCUGGUAUUUACUGCAUAUACUUAGAAUAUUAAGUGACAACUAUAUAAAUGUGAAUUAUGCAUUUUGAAACGAGUUUUCCAGGUGUGGUAAAUCAAUGCUCAAUUUUUCAGUGUCACAAUUAACGGUGUACCACAUCCAAUGCACUAAGAAUGUGAUAAUAUUCCCAGUUAUAGGGGUAAUACAAACCAAUGAAAUGGACUUGAAAGAACGUGUGUUGCUUAGUAUUCCAACCUACUUCAGGCAAUAUUUAGCGCGAUAAUUUUAAAAUAUUCCACGGUGUACCAUUUUAACCCU